UACAGAGGUCUCAAGCGUUGUUCGGAUUCAUUGGGCGUAAAGGGUGCGUAGGCGGCGUCGUAAGUCGGGUGUGAAAUCUCGGGGCUUAACUCCGAAAUUGCAUUCGAUACUGCGGUGCUUGAGGACUGGAGAGGAGACUGGAAUUCACGGUGUAGCAGUGAAAUGCGUAGAUAUCGUGAGGAAGACCAGUGGCGAAGGCGGGUCUCUGGACAGUUCCUGACGCUGAGGCACGAAGGCCAGGGGAGCAAACGGG
rnacentral:rRNA from 1 species